UACGGAGGGUGCAAGCGUUGCUCGGAAUUAUUGGGCGUAAAGCGCACGUAGGCGGCCUGUUAAGUCGGAUGUGAAAGCCCCGGGCUCAACCCGGGAAGUGCAUUCGAUACUGGCGGGCUUGAGUAUGGAAGAGGGGAGCGGAAUUCCUGGUGUAGAGGUGAAAUUCGUAGAUAUCAGGAGGAACACCAGUGGCGAAGGCGGCGACCUGGGCCGAUACUGACGCUGAGGUGCGAAAGCGUGGGGAGCAAACAGG
rnacentral:rRNA from 1 species